UACGUAGGGGGCUAGCGUUGUCCGGAUUUAUUGGGCGUAAAGAGCGUGUAGGCGGCUUUGCAAGUCCGUUGUGAAAACUGGAGGCUCAACCUCCAGACGUCGACGGAAACCGUAUGGCUAGAGUCCGGAAGAGGAGAGUGGAAUUCCUGGUGUAGCGGUGAAAUGCGCAGAUAUCAGGAAGAACACCAAUGGCGAAGGCAGCUCUCUGGGACGGUACUGACGCUGAGACGCGAAAGCGUGGGGAGCGAACAGG
rnacentral:rRNA from 1 species